rnacentral:rRNA from 1 species
ACUCCUACGGGAGGCAGCAGUGGGGAAUAUUGCACAAUGGGGGAAACCCUGAUGCAGCCAUGCCGCGUGUGUGAAGAAGGCCUUCGGGUUGUAAAGCACUUUCAGUAGGGAGGAAGGUAGUGUAGUUAACACCUGCAUUAUUUGACGUUACCUACAGAAGAAGCACCGGCUAACUCCGUGCCAGCAGCCGCGGUAAGUACGGAGGGUGCGAGCGUUAAUCGGAAUUACUGGGCGUAAAGCGCAUGCAGGCGGCCUGUUAAGUCAGAUGUGAAAGCCCGGGGCUUAACCUCGGAAUUGCAUUUGAAACUGGCAGGCUAGAGUCUUGUAGAGGGGUUAGAAUUUCAGGUGUAGCGGUGAAAUGCGUAGAGAUCUGAAGGAAUACCAGUGGCGAAGGCGGCCCCUGGACAAAGACUGACGCUCAGAUGCGAAAGCGUGGGAGCAAACAGGAUUAGAUACCCCUGGUAGACUGUCA